GGGGAAUAUUGCGCAAUGGGGGCAACCCUGACGCAGCAAUACCGCGUGAGUGAAGAAGGUUUUCGGAUCGUAAAGCUCUGUUAUUGGGGAAGAAUACAUGACGGUACCCAAUGAGGAAGUCCCGGCUAACUACGUGCCAGCAGCCGCGGUAAUACGUAGGGGACAAGCGUUGUCCGGAAUGACUGGGCGUAAAGGGCGCGUAGGCGGUCUAUUAAGUCUGAUGUGAAAGGUACCGGCUCAACCGGUGAAGUGCAUUGGAAACUGGUAGACUUGAGUAUUGGAGAGGCAAGUGGAAUUCCUAGUGUAGCGGUGAAAUGCGUCGAUAUUAGGAGGAACACCAGUGGCGAAGGCGGCUUGCUGGACAAAUACUGACGCUGAGGUGCGAAAGCGUGGGGAGCGAACA
rnacentral:rRNA from 1 species